rnacentral:misc_RNA from 1 species
AGCUUUUCAAGAAAGCAAUUAUUAAAACCAUAGAGGGAACAGAUGGGAUGGGCGAGAAUAAGAGAGACAGAGUCAGACCAUAUUUUCUUCAAAUUUUCAUAGACUUACUAUGCCAAUGCCCAGUUAGCAAUUCCAUUCUUCAAUUUGCCAGAAUAUGACUGCAGGCUAAAAUUGAGAAAAUGGCAAAACUGACCAUUAAGCCCACGUAGAUAUUAUUAACUUUUACGAUAAAGAGUCACAAAGCCCGGCCAAACAAGACAUUAUGUCAACAAAUGUCAACUUUCAGUUGAGGCUUGAGGGUGAUUUGUGUCGGAGUUUUUGUUCCUCUGAGAGCAGCCUUGCAAAGUCAGCUAGAGCUGCUUCAUUAGAAGGGGCCCCUGCAAUGUUUUCAAACCUGCCAUUUUCCAAAUUCACCCUUGACACCGGCUUCUGCAGGAGUUCUGUUCCAAUGUCCACAAGCCUUUGCAAAUUCUCCUUGGUUGCGAUAUCAACCGAUGAUGCAUCACCUGUCAGCGUAUCAUCCUGAAUUCGCAGGUAAUAAUCCUUGCAAUUGAGGGACUGAAAAAGGGCGGAGACAUGGAAGUCAACCACAUCUGAACUAGCAUCUGAAAAAAUGUCAAGCAGUGGUGUUUUGCCAUUGUCAAAGAGCCAAUUGAUCAAACCCCAUUUAGAUGCUGUGGCUGCACUGUAUUUUGCUUCAUACUUGGAUGUUCCAGUUCCAAGUGAGAGCACUAGCAUGCUCUUGCUCUCCAUCAGGUUUGCAUCAUUGAACAAAGGGUUUUCCUUCAAGAUCUCCUUGCGGAUGUGACUUAUUGCCAGUAGUGUAGGAUUAU